rnacentral:rRNA from 1 species
AAGGCGAUUAGUUUAAGAGAUUAAUUGAUUGACGAUAAUCACAGAAGAAGCACCGGCUAACUCCGUGCCAGCAGCCGCGGUAAUACGGAGGGUGCGAGCGUUAAUCGGAAUGACUGGGCGUAAAGGGCACGCAGGUGGUGACUUAAGUGAGGUGUGAAAUCCCCGGGCUUAACCUGGGAACAGCAUUUCAGACUGGGUGACUAGAGUACUUUAGGGAGGGGUAGAAUUCCACGUGUAGCGGUGAAAUGCGUAGAGAUGUGGAGGAAUACCGAAGGCGAAGGCAGCCCCUUGGGAAGAUACUGACGCUCGAGUGCGAAAGCGUGGGGAGCAAACAGGAUUAGAUACCCUGGUAGUCCACGCUGUAAACGAUGUCGAUUUGGGGAUUGGGUGAACACUUGGUGCCCGAA